rnacentral:rRNA from 1 species
GAUGAACGCUGGCGGCGUGCUUAACACAUGCAAGUCGAACGGGAUCCCAGGAGCUUGCUCCUGGGUGAGAGUGGCGAACGGGUGAGUAAUGCGUGACCGACCUGCCCCAUACUCCGGAAUAGCUCCUGGAAACGGGUGGUAAUGCCGGAUGCUCCAGUUGACCGCAUGGUCCUCUGGGAAAGCUUUUGCGGUAUGGGAUGGGGUCGCGUCCUAUCAGCUUGAUGGCGGGGUAACGGCCCACCAUGGCUUCGACGGGUAGCCGGCCUGAGAGGGCGACCGGCCACAUUGGGACUGAGAUACGGCCCAGACUCCUACGGGAGGCAGCAGUGGGGAAUAUUGCACAAUGGGCGCAAGCCUGAUGCAGCGACGCCGCGUGCGGGAUGACGGCCUUCGGGUUGUAAACCGCUUUUGACUGGGAGCAAGCCCUUCGGGGUGAGUGUACCUUUCGAAUAAGCACCG